rnacentral:rRNA from 1 species
AGUGAACGCUGGCGGUAGGCCUAACACAUGCAAGUCGAACGGCAGCACAGUAAGAGCUUGCUCUUACGGGUGGCGAGUGGCGGACGGGUGAGGAAUACAUCGGAAUCUACUUUUUCGUGGGGGAUAACGUAGGGGAACUUACGCUAAUACCGCAUACGACCUACGGGUGAAAGCAGGGGAUCUUCGGACCUUGCGCGAUUGAAUGAGCCGAUGUCGGAUUAGCUAGUUGGCGGGGUAAAGGCCCGCCAAGGCGACGAUCCGUAGCUGGUCUGAGAGGAUGAUCAGCCACACUGGAACUGAGACACGGUCCAGACUCCUACGGGAGGCAGCAGUGGGGAAUAUUGGACAAUGGGCGCAAGCCUGAUCCAGCCAUACCGCGUGGGUGAAGAAGGCCUUCGGGUUGUAAAGCCCUUUUGUUGGGAAAGAAAAGCAGCAGGUUAAUACCCCGCUGUUCUGACGGUACCCAAAGAAUAAGCACCGGCUAACUUCGUG